AUGCCGUCAGGGAUGGGGAGCUGACCCAGUGAACGUGGCGGGUGCGCCCCAGAGUCCAGCCCGGGCCGAGGGGUGUCCUCGGUGGCUCGGUGGAAGGGUGGGAGGCAGCACCGGGGAGGAGACUCGCAGUGGGAUCCCUGCUUCAGAGCAGAGGCAGGAAACUGUCAGAAAGGAGCAGAUUCUGGGUUUGCAUAGCCUGAAGUAGCGGUCGUUAUCCGGCUCACGAAUAUCACCACAUCCAGAAGGCCUCACCGUGAUGGUGAAAGGUCUGCACCAAGUUUCAGGAAACAGCUGUAUGUUCCACCUUCUCUGUACUUUCCCAAAAGGAACAGAAAAAGAACAGAUCCCAGUGGGCACAGAAGGCAGGGAGCCAAAGCAUAACUCAGUUAUGGAUCAGUUUCAUUUGGGGAUGUGACUGUGAACUUCACCCAGGAGGAGUGGGGUCAGCUGGACCCUGAUCAGAGGACCUUGUGCAGGGAUGUGAUGCUGGAGAACUACAGCAUCCUCAUCUCACUGGGAAAGUAGAGCUUCUUUGAGUAACACCAUCAGGCAUGUCCUUUCUUUGUUACCAAAGCAUAUGGGUCUUUUGUAGACUUUAAUGAUAUUUAGGUUUGGACACCAGGAAUAUUGUUUGUGUUUUCACUUCCCCUUUGAAAGAUUUCAGUGGGCCCCUUCAUUGUGCACCUCCUGAAGCUGGACCUCAGUUUUUCUUCUGAGUUCCUGAAGCCAGGCAGCUUCUUCUACAUCCUGUAUCACUUUCUAGUAUCAGGGCAUUGCAUUACCAAACCAGAAGAAGCACCAUGGAUAUUAGAGGAAGAAUUCGCAAGCCAGUGUUACCCAGGUGAGUAAUCCAGGGGAAAUUAGAUCCUGCAUUGUUGGUUUAGGUAUAGACAUCUUUGGAGCAUUAAAAAAAAAAAUCUCUUUAGAGGCUCCAUCUGUUUGGAAAUGACCUAAGGAUAUUUAGCCUACAUGCCUCAGAUGCCUAGAUUGACCAGAUACACUCUCAGACAUAAACGUUUUCUUUUUUGUUUGGCUUUUUAAAAGUUUAAUCCCUAUUUCCUGUACCUUAAAUUUCAUUCUUAUCUCAUAGUAAAUAUUUUAUCUGAGUCUGCUUUUCUCUCACAUUCUCAGUUACCCACAUUCCCUCCUAUCAAGGACUUCUUUUGUUUACAGGAAUUAAUUAAUUAAUUUAACCAGUACUAAUUGAGCUCUCACUCCAUGCCAAUCAUGUUCCAAAUGGCAGGGAUACAGCGGAGGGUGAACUAAGUCCCCUGCUCUCAGGGAACUUACAUUUUGGCAGGAGAGAGACACAGGAAGCUGACUGCCCUGUGAGAAAAUGAUUUAGCAUGGCAAAAGUAGAAGCGAGCAGACCAGUCAGGAAGACUGAAAGCACCAUUGACUAGGUUUAAGGGGAGAGAGCAUACAGAGUGAUGGUUCUGGGUGCACAUUGAAGGGAGAGUUAACAAAAUUAGCACCAGGACUCUAACCCACCUCCUCUAAACACUUUCUUCCUCUGAUAAUUUCUUAAAACAACACCCUUGUCUACUUGUUUUCCGUGUCAUAUUUACUGCUUAAUUCUCUGAUUGAACAUAUCUAACUGUGAAUUCCACUCUUGUAAGUCAUCCAUUCUUACUGAACCUUUUUUUCUCUAUUAUGCAUGUUUCUUUCACCACUUCUAUCCAUUUUGGAAGGUACAUUCGUAAAGAGCCACAUAAACAUACGUCCAUUCAUAGCCAACUUUACUCUCCCCUAGUUCAACACAUUAGUUUUGUUUGAUUGGUUGAUUUAUUGUUACCCUUUCCCCUCAGCUUCUCAGAAAAGUGGAGGAAAUGGAAAGUUUUAUUUGGAACUUUUAUCUCAAAAGACUGAUACUAAAACCAAAGAAUCAGAUAAAUGAAGAGCAUUUGUGUAUUAGCCCAAUUUUAUAAGUAGUUUAAUUCGUAAGGUAUGUUUCAUUUUCCUUAUUUUUAGAAGAAUUGAAAAUUGAUGCCAUGAUGGAAAGCAAAGAAAACCAAGACAGACAUUUAUGGUGCACUGAAUUUACCAAUAACAAAAGAGUAAUUACAGAGAAAGAGCGUUUAUUGAGCAAACCAUUUAAUUUUUGCACAGACUGUAUUCCUUCUAGAAAAAUGCCCAGUAAAUGUAGCCUUGAUAGAAUUAGUUGAGAAAAUAUGUCAGAGGUAACCACUAAUAAUAGAAAUUAUUCAGGAAAGAAGUCUCACAUUUCCAAUGGGUAUGAGAAGUUGAUCCCUGAAAUUAAUCAUGAGAAAACUCAUACUAGAGAGAAACUUAGUGAAUUUAAUAAAGAUGAGAGCACUUUCUAUUGUGACAAGGGUUUUAUUCAAGAGAACCACAGUGUGGAGCAACUAUUUGAAUACAAAGACUGUGUUAAAGCACUCCACAGUAAUGCUCUCUCCAUUACACAAGGGGAAACUUCUCACACAGGAGAGAAACUCUGUGAUUAUAAUGAAUGUGAGAAAACCUUCAGGGAUGAGUCAAACCUCAUGUUAUGUCAGAUGAUUUACUCCAGGAAGAACCACUAUAAACUUAAUGAAUAUGGGGAAACCUGUGAUAAGGCAGCCCUCUGGAAGAAACAUCAUAGACUUCACGUGGGUGAGAAAUGUCAUGAGUGUAAGGUACGUGGGAGAACCUUCCUCUGGAAGUCAAACCUCACCGUGCACCAGAGAACACACACAGGAGAAAAACCCUAUCAGUGUAAUGAAUGCGGGAAGUCUUUUUACCAUAAGCCAGCCAUCACUGUACAUCAAAGAAUUCAUAUAGGAGAGAGACCUUAUGAAUGUACCAAGGGUGGGAAAACUUUCUGCCAGAACUCAGCCCUCCAUCAGCAUCAAAGAACUCACACAGGGGAGAAAGGCCUUAUAAAUGUAGUGAGUGUGGAAAAUCUUUCUCCCAAAAGUCAGAUUUGACUGUGCAUCAGAGAUCUCACAUGGGAGAAAAAUGUUAUAAAUGUGAUGAGUGUGAUAAAUCCUUCAGUAUAAAGUCAAAACUCAUGAUACACCUGAAAAUACACUUGGGGAGAAGCCCUGUGAAUGUAGGGGAUGUGAGAAGAUGUAUUAUGUGAAGUCCACCCUCAGUAAACAUAAAAGACUUCACAGAGGGGAGAAAAUAUAUGAAUGCAAUUAAUUUAGGAAGAUCUGCCAUGGGAAGUCAGUGCUCCUUAAACAUGAGAACACAUACAGGAGAGAAAACUUAUGAAUGUGUUGAAUGCAGGAAAAGCUUUUCUGGAAGUCAACCCUCAGUAAACAUCAGAGGAUUCAUACUGGGGAGAAACCAUUUGAAUGUAACAAAUGUGGGAAAGCAUUCUGCCAAAAGUCACAACUCAUUCAACAUCAGAGAAUUCAUACAGGGGGGAAAUCCUAUGAAUGUAAAGAAUGUGGGAGAAUGUUUUGCCGCAAAGGAUCCCUCAGUGUACAUCAGAGAACACACACAGGAGAGAAGCCCUAUGAAUGUGAUGAAUGUGGAAAAUCUUUCUAGGAUAGUUCAACUCUUGUUAAACAUAAGAGAAUUCACUCAAGGGAGAAACCCUCUCAUUGUAACAGAUGUGGGAAGACCUACAGCCACAAACCAACUCUUGCUGCACAUCUGAGAAUACACACAGAAGAAAAAUGAUGGAAAGACCGAGGUGCAAAGCACUCCUACCAUGAUUUAGAGCCUUCGGUGGGACAGGAAGUAUAUCUAGGGAAGAAACUAUGCAUGUAAUGAAUAUGAGAAAUUCUACCAGAAGUCAGCCUUCAGUUUACAUCAGAGAACUCACACAGGGGAGAAACUCUGGCAAUGUUUUUUAUUGUUUGUUUUUCUUUCUUUCUUUUUUAAUCAAUAUGUGUUUCCUUUUCCUACUGGGCACAGAGCUAGUCUAUAUUUCUCUGCUUCUCUACUAUUUCCUGGCAUGUAUUAAUGGGUGUGGCCAUUGUUACUGAACUGCCUAUUCAAUAAGGAAGCCAACAGUAUUUUUGCCAGUCACAUGUUUUCUCUAAUAAUUAUUUACAUACAAAAUAGAGGCUUACAUUCACAAUUUUUACCUUUGGCAUGAGCCUGAAUUUGAGAAAACAGCUGUGAACAGUAAUGCUCAGUAAGAAAACAAGCCCAUCUUUCAAUAUCCUGAAAUGUUUAAAUGAGGAGCCUAAGAUGGUUUGAGUAUGCCAGCCCAAUUUAGAUGUAACCUGGGAGUUACUUCUAUCGUAACAUGCUAUAUAUCUUUGUCUUUACUUCUAGUAUAAGUAACCAUGGUACUGAAGUGGGAGGAAAGGGGGCAGGGCACAACCACUGAAGGAAUGACACAGCCAUUGGGCACAGGACAAACCGGUUAGAACCAAGAUGGCAGAAGAUUCGACUUCUAGUAGACCUGGAGCCUCAUGGUGCACCCCCAGGCGCCAUCACAGUUCCCAGGCUGACCAUAAAAGGUCAAAAAGUGUGGUGGAGGGGGGCAUUUCUUGGAAAUCCUUGCCCCUUCCUCAAAGUAAUUGGAAUAAUCCUCCUACUCAUUAGUAUGUGAAAUUGCUGAGUCCAUAAAACCUAACAACUCCCACACCUCGUGUUCACUCUCGCUCUGUUGCUCUCACCUUCUGAGACAGCCUGCACUCUGCUAUGGAGUGUGUAUCUACUUUUACUUUAAACACCCCACACCUCUCAGCUUCUCUCCCUCUCACCUUUCUGAGAUGGCCCACAUUCUGCCUAUGGAGUGUGUAUCUCCUAAGCCAUUUUCCCUUCUGAGUGAGACAGGCUGCACUCUGUCUAUGGAGUGUGUAUUUCUCUAAAUACACCUACUUUCACUUUACCAUGCCUUGCUCUUGAAUUCUUUCCUGCACGAGGCAAGAACCUUUUCUCCCCCAACAGUAUGGUGCAGAAGUUGGCAGACAUUUUCUGUAACAGGCCAUAUAGUAAACAUUUUAACCCUGUUGGCCUCAUGUGCUUUCUGUCACAUAUUCUUACAACCUGUGAAAAACAUUCUUAGCUUGCGGACCAUUGGAAAACAGGCUACUGGCCAGAUCUGGCCUGAGGGCCAUAGUUCACUGACCCCUGAUAGAGCAGUUCAGAGCCUGGGCUCUGGAACCAGACUUCCUGGACUCAAAUCCUAGUUCUACUACAUACCAGCUGUGUGAGCUGGGGCAAAUCCCUUACAUCCGUUCUUCAGUUGCCUUAUCUGCAAAAUGAUGAUAAUGAUAUUACCUACCGCAUGGGGGUCUAGUGGAGAUUAGGUAAAUUAGUCAAUGUAAAGUACUUAGACCAUUGUAUAGUGUUACAACUGUUAGCUUUUCCAAGACUAGCAUAAUUUCCUUGCAACAGAUUUGUAGGAGCUUUUACAGAUUUUUGAUUUGUUAUUCAACAGCUGUCUCUCACUUAUUCCAUGCCAGCAGAAUGUUGUUUUUGUUUCAUUCUCUGUCUUUCCUAUGUAUGAUGCAAGAGAUAACAAUCUAACCAAUUUUUUUCAGCUUUUUGGAGGUAUAAUUGACAAAUAAAAUUGUAAGAUAUCGUCAGCCCUUCACAUUUGAGAGUUUCAUAUCCACGCAUUCAACCAACCACGAAUCAGAAAUAAUCUAAAAAUAAGUUCUAGAAAGUUCCAAAAAGCAAAACUUGAAUUUGCUGCAUGCCAGCACUAUUUAUAUACUAUUUACAUUGCAUUUACAACUACUUAUAUAGUAUUUGCUUUAUAUUAGGUAUUAUAAUUAAUCUAGAAUUGGUUUAAGUAUACAGGAGGAUGUGUGUAAAUUAUAUGCAGUUACUAUGCCAUUUAUAUAAGAAACUUGAGCAUCCCACAAAUGUCAGUAUCCGAGGUGGGUCCUAGAACCCUUUGAGGACAUUUGGUCCUGUCCAAAACAUCCACUGAGACAUUUGAUCUACAAGAGGUCUUUGCUAUUUGGUCCUAUAUGAGACAUCUGUCCGCACCAAAAAGAUCCUUGAAAUUUGGUCCCAUCCAAAAUGUCCAUUGGGAUAUCGGGACAUUUGGUCCAUGAUUCAUUAAACAAUACAAACAUUUAACUUCAUUAAAAUUUUAUGUUAUUUUUGUUGUAUUUCACGAUGGAUUUUGGAUUUCACAUUAACUCUUCGUCCUCUUCGUGACGUUUUUAGCAGGGUUACUCUGAAGUCAGCGACCAAUUGCUCUUGAGUAUGUUUUGACCUGAUCAUUGGUUUCAUAUUCCUUAUACCUGGGAAUAAUUUCGGUUAUAUGAAAUUGAUUUUGUCAGCAUCGUUGUGAAGUUGGCAGCCAUCUUUGAGUGUGGCCACCAGGAACCUGGGUGAUGACGUGUUCAUUGUUUUGCAGCUCAGCCUUUAGCACUCCAGUAAACUUCCAAAUUGAAGGAUGAUGCACUAUCAGCAGCUUUUGAAAUCUGCUGUGCCAGCCUUUUACUGUGUUGUUUGUCCUGUGAACUCCAUUUAGUACUGAUGUAUAAACCUUCCAGGUUUCUGGUGGAAAUCUUACAGUUUCUGGUCUUCUGCCUCUGCCAUGCCUUCCAGGAACAUAUACUCUUUCAACAUACUCCAUUAGGUUAUCUACAUUAUCUUCUGCAUUCUCCACCGUAUAUUCAAAAGUUUUAUUUACACCAUCCAAAGGCAUAAAUGGAAGUCCAAACAAUAUGGAUGCACACUUACAAGUGUUACUUUCCAUUGUCACAUAUACCAUUGUGACAAUGUACCAUCCAUUUAAGAGGCAAGACAACAAAUGCUAACAUCCUAUGUACUAUGUACUAUGAUCAGUUUAUGAUUUCUGUUUCACUAAAUUCUGUGUUUCUGCUUAUGCCAAAGAUAAUGUUUUAAUUAGUAUGGCUUUGUAAUGCUUUUUUAAUGUAGGGCAUGUUCUUUAUAUUGCUUGAAGGUUUGUUUUUGUUUUUUUUUUUUUUUUUGGUCCAUAUACUUUUUGUUGUCAAAGGAUCCAGCAUUUGGUCUUGUCAAUUAAAAAAAAUUAGUCAUUCUAAUGUAUGUGUAGUGUUAUCUCAUUGUUGUGGUAGACUUGCUUUUGAAAAUAGUUUGGCAGGAUAACAUGAGCCCCUGUGAUCUGGCAAUUUCAUAUGUGCACCAAGAGAUAUUGUAAGAGUAAAAUCAAAAACUAGUAGCAACUGGGACCUUAGUAGACAGAAGAAUGAAUACAUUUACAAUGUUAUAUUCAUAUAAUAGAAUAUUGUGUAGCAGUCUAAAAUAUUUAACUUACUGUAUUACUUAGGGAAGUGUAAAUAGCAAUAAAACUAUAAUGAAUAUCUGGGUAACGAUAAAUAAAUUAUUAAUAGCAGUUACUUUUUUCAGGAUCUUAUUAAGGAGUUGGUUAUACUAUUUUCCUUUGGUUGGGUAAUGUGCAUACCUGUGUCUGUUUUAUUAUUUUUAUCUUAUAUAUGUAUUAUUUACAUUGCAUUCGUUUUAUAGUAGAGGCCAGUGGCAUUGCCUUAUUUCAUAAUGCAAAGAAAUAAGUACUUGAUAGGCAAAAAUGUUAAUUCUCCCUACCCUAAAUGCUUCCAGGCUUUACUCAUGUGUCUUUGUCAUUGAAUGUCAGUGUGCCAUUGAAGGCCUUAAGAGAGGGAAUUCUGCCUCCAGGAACUCAAGCUGAAGCAUCCCUUGAGUCUCAGCCCCGUGGCCUACCCUGCAGAUUUCAGACAUGUCGGCCCCCACAGUCACGUGAGCCAGCCCCUUAAAAUAAACUGUCUUUGUCUACAUACAGACACACACACACACUCACACUCACAUUCAAUUGGUUCUGUUUCUCUGGAGAACUCUAACAUGUCCUUUAUAUCUAUUUUUGAGAUAACAUUAAAAACAUCUGAAAGUGCCUGUCAAAUUGUAGGUACUUAAUAAGCAUGCACGUUUUUUCUCUGACUUCUGCUUUCUAUCAGUGUUGUUUAACAGUUUCAUGUCUUCUUUUCCUGUAUUGGUUAUUUAUUGCUGUGUAACAAAUUACCCCAAAACUUAGUGGCUUACAACAACACUUUUUUUUUUAAUUUUAAAAUU